GAGGUCAUAGGGUAUUCUGAUUCUGAUUUCGCUGGAUGCCAAGAUAGUAGGAAAUCUACAUCAGGCUAUAUUUACCUGUUAGUCGGAGGAGCUAUAUCUUGGAAAAGUGUUAAAGAGACACUUGUAGCUUCGUCCACUAUGGCAGCAGAGUUUGUAGCAUGCAAUGAGGCAUCAAAACAUGGAAUAUGGUUGCGGAACUUUGUCACAGGGCUGCACAUUUCGGAGAAUGUAAAAAGACCACUCAAAUUAUUUUGUAACAUUAAGUCAGCAGUGCUGUAUUCCAAUAACAACAGGAGUUCAUCUAAGUCAAAGCAUAUUGACAUAAAGUUCCUAGUUGUAAAAGAAAGAGUGCAAAAUGGUCAAAUCUCAAUAGAGCACAUUGGGACAAACUCCAUGAUAGCGGAUCCGCUCACAAAAGGUUUACCACCCAAGGUCUUUCAUGAGCACACUGCUCACAUGGGUGUUACAUUGUUUGAUGAUAUCAUGAUUUAGUGGGAGUUUAUAUUUCAGACAUGUAUUUAGUUAUUUUCUGAUCAGAAAUAAAGUAUUCAGUUUAUUCACUCAGUUUAUUAUUUUGAAAUUGACCUCACUUAAGUUUAAGGAAGGACUAGUUGGAAAUAGACAUGUUUAGAUCAUAUUGCAUGCAAUUUCCAUGCUACACAUCCAUACUUGAUCUAUGUCAUUUGGUUGUGUUAAUAUACGUGAUCAUGGAUGGAUUUAGUUACAAUAUUUGUAACGAAAGUCGCCUUGGUUCUAUGUUAACAUAAUUAAUGGACGAGAUUGUACGGAAUGCCUUUUGGAUAUGAUAGUAAAAAUUUUGAGCUCAUAAGGUUAUAUAAUGACAUGUAAUUAUAAAGUAAUUAGUAUAUAUAUGUGGUCCAAGUGGGAGAUUGUUGGAAAAUUUGGACAUCACAUAUAUAAUAAGGAUAAUUACAUAUUAUUUACUAUCAUGAUAGGUUAGCCCCAAAUUAAAAGUGAUCUAAUUUGGUUAGAAUUUUAUUGGGCUUUUAAUUAUUAAAUAAAUAAAGUGUGGGUCAAAUAUGUGUAGAUACUCUUCUAAUCAAAUUCUAAUUAAUGAUGGGCUAAUUAGAAUUUGAUUAGAACUAAUAUGCUAAGGUUAUAAAUAUUAGGGUUAUGGUCCCCAAAUUAUACACAAGAUAUCUUUCCUAAUAUCCCAUAAUUAGGAAAGAAAGAGCAAAUAUUCUCUGAGUUUCUUGUGUGCUAAUUUGGAAGAUCAAAUCCCCAAGUUCCAGAAAGUUUCAAGGAAUCCAUGGAUUCAGAUACGUUUCGCUUCCAUAUCUAGUUUUGUUCUUGAUUUAUUCUUAAUGAUUUGACAUGACAGAUCCUGAUUUAUUAAGUUAUAUUGUAGAUUUAUUUUAUAAAUUCUAACAAGUGAUUCGAUAUGACGAGGCUCUGAUACCACUUGUUAGAAUUUAUAAAAUAAAUCUACAAUAUAACUUAAUAAACCAGGAUCUGUCAUGUCUAAUUAUUAAGAAUAAAUCAAGAACAAAACUAGAUGCGAAAGCGUACCUGAAUCCAUGGAUUCCUUGAAACUUUCUAGAACUUGGGGAUUUGAUCUUCUAAAUUCGCACACAAGAAACUCAGAGAAUAUCUACUCUUUCUUUCCUAAUGAUGGGAUACUAGAAAAGAUAUCUUGUGUAUAAUUUGGGGACGAUAACCCUAAUAUUUAUAACCUUAGCAUAUUAGUUCUAUCAAAUUCUAAUUAGCCCAUCAUUAAUUAGAAUUUGAUUAGAAGAGUAUCUACAAAUAUUUGACCAAUACUUUAUUUAUUUAAUAAUUAAAAGCCCAAUAAAAUUCUAACCAAUUAGAUCACUUUUAAUUUGAGCUAACAUAUCAUGAUAGUAAAUAAUAUGUAAUUAUCCUUAUUAUAUAUGUGACGUCCAAAUUUUCCAACAUGAAGAACUAGCAAAUUUGAAUAUAUCCAAUGAUGAAGAGGAUACUAUAGAAGGGCAACAAAUCGAAGAAGAAGAGGAUGAGGAAUAUGAAUUAUGCUUGGUUGGGAGGGUAUUAACUAAAAGUGUGGUACACAUUCCUUCCUUGAGACAGGUGCUAGCAGAAGUAUGGCAUCCAGUGGGCGGAAUUUCUAUUACAAACUUAGGGGAAAAAAGAACUUUUUUUAGGUUUUAUCAUUAGAUCAAUAUUAAAAGGGUUAUCAAGGGUACACCGUGGUUCUUCAACAGUCACCUAAUUUUGUUUCAAUGAUUGGAGAAGGGGGAACGCUCGCUGCAAGUACCAUUAUAUUUUACAGAGUUGUGGGUACAAAUACAUUAUCUACCGGGAGGUUUCAUGUCUGAAGGAAUGGCACGUCAACUUGGUAAUUUUAUUAAAAAAUUCAUGGAGUCUGAUGUGGCUUUAGUAACUAGGGGAAUUAAAAAAUUUAUGAGGGUAAGAGUUAUGUUGGAUGUUCGAAAACCCCUAAAAAGAAAGAAAAUGAUAGCUAUUUGUCAAAAUGAAACAACAUACGCUAUGUUUCAAUACAAAAAGCUUUCAUUAUUUUGCUAUCUAUGUGGCAAAUUGAAGCAUGGAGAAGGUUUCUGUCCAGUUAGAUUAACGUUAGAAUCAUAAGAAGUUACUUUUGGAUGGGAUCUAUCAAUAGAGUGUUGAUAAGAAUAAGACAAAUGGAAGAUUACAAGUGGCUAAGAGAAGAUAGAUCGGAUUCCAAAUCGGUCGUUGGGGGAAAAUUAAGAGAAAAUGGAGAGAGAUUGGCUUGAGUUAAUCCAAGCCUUAGCCCACAUUAAUGACAACACUAGGUUAGAAGGGAUAACUUAUGGAGGAGAGGAUGUGAGUUAUAUGGAGCUUGGAUCAAACCUAGAGGAAAUUCCUAUUAAAAAAGAUAAAGGUUGUCUUCAAUGAGUUCUAUUGUUUCUCAUUUAGUGGAUUCAAAAAAUUCUCCUAUUAUAUCAGCAGCUGCUGAAAAGUAGACCGACCGAUCACAAUGAAACUACUAAGUUUGAAUGCCCAUGGAUUAGGGCACCCACGGGAAGUAAGGCAUCUCAAAAACAAAGUGAGACAUAUUCAACCCUAGGUUUGGUUUCUCAUGGAAACCAAAGUAAGUGUAAGAAAGAUGGAACGAAUUUGAAGAAAGUGUGGUUUGCAAAAUGGCAUUGAUGCGGAUGCCACUAAAUGGGGACUAUAGUUGGGUUGGAAGCAAGAGUGUAACAUUCAAUUACGAAGCUUUUCAUCGUCACAUAUUGAUGUUAAAAUAACAGAAGUGGAAGGUGCAAAAGUAUGGAGAUUUACGAGAUUUUAUGGAUCACUAGAGGAACCCUGCAGGAGGGAUUGUUGGAAUAUUCUAUGACAUUUAAAUAAUACCAACAACCUACCCUGGUUAGUGGUAGGAGACUUUGAUGAAAUUCUUUUCCUUUUUAAAAGAAAGGAGGGUGUCAACGAGAAGUGAAUCAAAUGUUGGCAUUCUGCCAAGUCUUAGACGAUUGUAAUCUCAUAGAUAUAGGAUUUUUGGGUUAGUGGUUUACAUGGGAGAAAGGGAAACUUCAGAAUAAUAACAUAUGUGAAAGGCAUGAUAAAUGAGUGUGAACCUAGAAUGGUGAACUAUAUUUCCAAAUUUUUGUGUAAGACACCUUACACAUUCUAAGUCGUAUCACUGCCCAAUUCUUGUUAAUACAUUGGAUAGUAGUUCAAAGCAGAAGGGACAAUAACAACCAAAAUUCAGAUUCAAUGCGUAUUUGGUAAUUGAAGAAGGCCUUGAAAGUGAAAUACAAAAGUAGUGGGAAGAAGACAAAAGGGAGGUUCCUACUAAACUAGAAGCAAUAGGAGCAAAACUAAACAAUUGGGCUCAGGCAAAUCAGUUGGGAAGGCAACGUCACGCAACCUAUUGAAGUGUGAGAUUAGAAGAAUUAAAUACGAAUACUCCAGAUGAAAAAAAUUUGGCAGAAUUAACAAAGAUAAAGCUUGCACUAAACUUAAAAGCAUACAAUGAGGAGUUAUUUUGGGAACAAAUUGGUUACGUUUUGGACAUAGGAACACAUCAUAUUUCCAUAACAUUGUGUCGGCUAAAAAGAAAAAAAAACACAAUUCAGGAGCUUAAGAACGAUAGUGGGGAAUAGGUUCAAGAUGAGAAAAAUAUGGCAAACAUUGCCACCGACUAUUUCAAAUAGUUGUUUAUGGCUUCUUCUAGAAGAGAUAGCACUCGAGCGUUAAUAGAAAUUCAAUCAUGCAUUAAUGAAGUCAAUAAGGUAGAGUUGACAAUGGAGUUUAAGAAUAAGGAGAUUGGGAGGAAGUUAAAAUAAUGUCGCCAAUGAAAGCUUCUGGAGAUGACGGUUUCCUAGCUUCAUUUCAUUAGAGAUAUUUGAGUAUCUUAGGAAAUGAGAUCAACCAUAAAAAUAUCGUGUUUAUCCCAAAGACUAAUUCACCAACAAGCAUGACUUAUUUCAGACCAAUAAUCCUUUGCAAUGUGCUAUAUAGAAUACUAUCCACGGUUAUUGUCAACAGGUUUAGAAUAGUAUUGGACAAAUGUAUUGAUGAAGCUCAAGUAGCGUUUGUGCCUAGAAGACAAAUAAAGAUAAUAUUCUUGUAGUUUAUGAGAUAUUACAUUCUUUCAAGAGGAGGAAAUAUGGAUCUCAAGGUUUUUUUUCUUUAAAAUUAGAUAUGAGCAAAGCCUAUGAUAGAGUAGAGUAGUGCUUUUUGCAAAAAAUAAUUACUAAAAUGGGCUUUUGCAAUUAAUGGAUUGAAUUAGUUAUGACAUGUGUGGCUACGACUUGGGGAUCCAUUAAGUCUGUAUUUAUUUCUAUUAUGUGCUGAAGGUUUUUCAAGUCUAUUUAGGGAAGCUAAGUGGGAGAGCUUGAUAAAAAGGGCAAAGGUUGGUAGAAGUAGUCCACAUAUCCAAUAACCCAAAAAAGUACCUUGGUUUGCCAACAAUGGUGGGUAGAAAAAAGAAAGAUGCACUCACUAACUUAAAGGAAAGAUUUGUUAAGUGAAUAGAGAGCUAGAACACAAGGCAACUGUUAAUGGGAGGGAAAGAGGUAUUCAUCAAAUCAAUUUUAUAGGCAAUUCCUAUUUAUGCAAUGCAUAACUUCUUAUUACCAAGUUCUUUAUGCCGUGAAUUAAAUAGCAUGAUUGCAAAAUUUUGGUGGUGUAAUGCAAACACGAAGAAGGCUAUACAUUGGUGCCAAAGGAGAAUGGUCUCUCAACCUAAAGGGAAAGGUAGGUUAAGAUUUAAAGAUUUGUCCAAAUUUAAUAUAGUUUUGCUCAUGAAGCAAGGGUGGAGAUUAAUGUCGAAGCCCGAUUGUUUGUUAGCAAAGGUUAUGAAAGAAAAAUACUAUUCGAACACAGAUUUCAUGAAUGCAAGUAUAAGCUCUUACCUAUCAUAUACCUGGUGUAGUAUAUAGGCAUCUAGAAGGUUUUUGGAAUAGGGUUGUGGUUGGCGUGUGGGAAAUGGUGCAAACAUCAACAUAUGGACUGACAGUUGGUUGUUAGAGCCUGGACAAGAAAGAAUUCAAAGACAUGAAAUUAAUGCAAGAUAUACAAGGGUCGCUGAUUUAAUUGAAACAUGUUCGCCUUUAUGGAAAGAAGAAAUUAUUGAAAAUCUAUUUUAUGAGGAAACCGCACGAAGGAUACUAGAUAUACUUUUCUCAAGCUGUGAUCAGAAUGACCAUUUGGUCUGGAAAGGUGACAAUUUAGGGAUUUACUCAGUCAAAAAUGGGUACAGGUGGCUCAAAGCAACAGAUACAACUGCCAAUGAUGAUCCAAACAAGUUACAAGAAUUACUCUUUACAAAAAUAUAGAGCCUAAGUCUAGCUAGAAAAAUAAAAAUUACAUGUUGGAAAAUAAUUAGCAAUUACAUCCCCACACUAUUUAAUUUACAACAAAGAAGAAUUGGAGUACAAAACUUAUGCCUAGUUUGUCGAAGUGAUGGAGAAUUUAUUAAGCAAACCUUUCGUGAGUGUCCUUUCACGGAACAAGUCCUGCAACGUAUGGAAGUAACAUAGUCGACCAACAAUGAGAAUCAAAAUUGGAAAAUUUGGUUAGAUGCCGAGUUAUUAAUAGGAAAUACACUAUUACUAAGAAAAAUUGUAGUUAUAUUCUGGGCCUUAUGGUACAAUCGUAAUAGGGUAUAUCAUAAUGGAACACGACAAAAUGUUUUUGGAGUAGUUUCUUUCAUAAAUGCUUACAUAUUAGAGAUUAAUAGUAUGGGUAUUAUAUCGAAAGGUAUGCAAGAGGAUUAGGAGACUGUUUGCCAACCAAUGGAAGGAGAUAAUGUCAAAAUUAAUGUUGAUGCAUGUUGUAAUAAUCACAUAAACAAUUCAGUUUCAGGGAUUAUUCUAAGAAACAAUGGAAGUCAUAUAAUGGCAACAAGAACUUAUCCAAAUAUACAUGUGAUAGAUGCGACAAUUGUAGAAGUAUGAGCAUGUGUUCAGGCUCUAAUCUUUGCUGAAGAGCUAGGAAUUCAGAAAAUAGUGGUUGAAAGGGAUUUAUUAACUGUAAAAAAAAGUGGUGGCUACAAAGGAAGAUGAACUAGUCAAUGCAGCUUUGAUCAAAGAAAGUAAAGAGAGAAUAAAUAAUUUUGAAUCAGUAAAGUUUAGAUUCGUACCUCGUUCAGCGAAUUGAGUAGCACAUGAAAUGGCACAAGAAGGAAAACUCUUCGACUCUUCGAUGUUCUAGAUUGAGGAAGCACUAAAAAAAUUGGAAAGUAUAGCAGAUCUGGACAGAGGGAGAAUGGGCAGAGAAGAAUGUUCGAGAAUAUUUGAGUAAAAUGACAAAAAUGUGAGGUUAAGUGUGUUAAAAUCAAAAAAAUAAGGAUGGAAGGAUCAGAGAAUGGUUAUUAGAAACAGUCUUACCAAAAAGAAGGUAGAUCCACUCCUGUUGCAAUCACUGAUGAAGAGACGAAUAUGAGAUAGGAAGAAGGUAGACGAUUUGGUUACCGACUGGAUUUCUUUGCUUUCGUUUUGGAUUAGGAUUUUUAGGGUUUAAAAUUUUUUCUUUUAGGGGUAACUUUAGUGGAGAUUUAAUUUUUCUUUAUUAAGUUAGGGGACACCGACCUUAAUGGCAAUUUGUUUUGAGACAGCUGGUAAUAAGUGGGUUUGUAACCCUUUUUUUCUUCCAAUCAAUGUAUUAGUCAAAUUUUCCUUC
rnacentral:lncRNA from 1 species